rnacentral:rRNA from 1 species
GACGAACGCUGGCGGCGUGCUUAACACAUGCAAGUCGAACGGAAAGGCCCUGCUUUUGUGGGGUGCUCGAGUGGCGAACGGGUGAGUAACACGUGAGUAACCUGCCCUUGACUUUGGGAUAACUUCAGGAAACUGGGGCUAAUACCGGAUAGGAGCUCCUGCUGCAUGGUGGGGGUUGGAAAGUUUCGGCGGUUGGGGAUGGACUCGCGGCUUAUCAGCUUGUUGGUGGGGUAGUGGCUUACCAAGGCUUUGACGGGUAGCCGGCCUGAGAGGGUGACCGGCCACAUUGCGACUGAGAUACGGCCCAGACUCCUACGGGAGGCAGCAGUGGGGAAUAUUGCACAAUGGGCGGAAGCCUGAUGCAGCGACGCCGCGUGCGGGAUGACGGCCUUCGGGUUGUAAACCGCUUUCGCCUGUGACGAAGCGUGAGUGACGGUAAUGGGUAAAGAAGCACCGGCUAACUACGUG